AUGGAGGAGACGGAUGCGGACACAACGGGGUCAGAAACGGAGUCAUACACGACGGACACGGACAGCGUGCCGGAGCUCACGCCGGAGGAGAUGGCGCGGCUGCUGGAGCCAGACCCGGAACUCACGGACGACGAGAAGGCGCUGCGGGCCCUUCACCUCGUCUGCUGCAGAGAGCUCACCGAGUACGACCCCAAGUCGAAAGCCUAUGUCUGCACGCGCUUCUCCAGCUUCAACAUAGCCCUCUUUGACCUCGACGAAGAGUCCGAGGCUACCCAUGGGCCGCCGCUUCAGGAGCUAACCAAUUCUCAGUGGAGGUCAAUUCACGAGGCAUCUGUUAAUGUCAUCUCCUUGAAGGUAAUCCAGUCCGACGUGGGCUACCCGAUCAAUGUCUUUGGUACUGUUCUCGCACGGGAUGAGGUCGACUACAAAUGUGUCUACUUGUUCCGGCGCGAUAGGGAUAAUUCCCAGUACAUCGAGUCCCCGGAGGACAUGUUAACUCUGACAGGUCCAAGUCGAGGACUUAUCGUAUCAGAUACCAUAUUUUUUGAGAUCAACCUAAAGAUUAGGGGCAACGUAGUCACCGAUGACAAAGAUUUUAGCAAAGGUGUAAUAGAGCACUAUAUUGUUCCCUUGGCCAAGGGACCCAAGACUGAGCUCCUAACUAGCUGGCUGAGUACGGUAGAACUGGUAUUGGCGCCUGCUCCAUAUGCCGUGGCAGCUACCGUUAAAAUCAAUAUCUUGAAUGGGCCAUGUGAUCCUCCUUUCAGAGGCAAAGUAACUGCUUGGACCGCUGGAGAUGCUGAGACCCAUAUCAUUCUGCACGACUACGAAAACAAAGCGAUGGAUGAUUUUAGAUUAAUCAAAGAUGGUGGUUCGAUUGCUUUAAGCCGUAAUCUGGUGGCUGUCCCUGUCCCUAAUUCCUUGUAUGAUGAGUAUGAAGAAAUAGUGCUCACUGUUUGUUUUACUACCAGUGAUGAUGAGGAUGAAUGCACCUCGGUCACUCUACAAUACCCUCAGGAAGAGAAGGUUUGCAAUCACGGUUCCUAUGAGCUUAAAGUGGAGGUUACUUGGACAAGCAUUCUUGAAGGGCCGUUCGGCACAGAUAUUGACAAAAGAUGGAGCUCUGUGCCUCAAAAACUAUUAUUGUUCUAG
rnacentral:rRNA from 1 species